rnacentral:rRNA from 1 species
UACCGGCGGCUCGAGUGGUGGCCACUUUAUUGGGCUUAAAGCGUUCGUAGCUGGGUCGUUAAGUCUCUUGGGAAAUCCGGCAGCUUAACUGUCGGGCGUCUAAGAGAUACUGGCGAUCUUGGAACCGGGAGAGGUGAGGGGUACUUCGGGGGUAGGAGUGAAAUCCUGUAAUCCUCGAGGGACCACCUGUGGCGAAGGCGCCUCACCAGAACGGCUUCGACAGUGAGGGACGAAAGCUGGGGAGCAAACCGGAUUAGAUACCCGGGUAGUCCCAGCCGUAAACGAUGUGCGUUAGGUGUAUCGACGACCACGAGUCGUCGAGGUGCCGAAGGGAAACCGUGAAACGUACCGCCUGGGAAGUACGGUCGCAAGGCUGAAACUUAAAGGAAUUGGCGGGGGAGCACCACAACAGGUGGAGCCUGCCGGUUUAAUUGGACUCAACGCCGGGAAGCUCACCGGAUAAGACAGCUGAAUGAUUGCCGGGCUGAAGACUCUGCAUGACUAGCUGAGUAGAGGUGCAUGG